AGUGAACGCUGGCGGUAGGCCUAACACAUGCAAGUCGAACGGCAGCACAGUAAGAGCUUGCUCUUACGGGUGGCGAGUGGCGGACGGGUGAGGAAUACAUCGGAAUCUACUUUUUCGUGGGGGAUAACGUAGGGAAACUUACGCUAAUACCGCAUACGACCUACGGGUGAAAGCAGGGGAUCUUCGCACCUUGCGCGAUUGAAUGAGCCGAUGUCGGAUUAGCUAGUUGGCGGGGUAAAGGCCCACCAAGGCGACGAUCCGUAGCUGGUCUGAGAGGAUGAUCAGCCACACUGGAACUGAGACACGGUCCAGACUCCUACGGGAGGCAGCAGUGGGGAAUAUUGGACAAAGGGCGCAAGCCUGAUCCAGCCAUACCGCGUGGGUGAAGAAGGCCUUCGGGUUGUAAAGCCCUUUUGUUGGGAAAGAAAAGCAGCAGGUUAAUACCCCGCUGUUCUGACGGUACCCAAAGAAUAAGCACCGGCUAACUUCGUG
rnacentral:rRNA from 1 species